UGACAAGAUGGUGACGGGUUAAAAGAAUGUGGGGAAAACACGCAGACCACAGGGGCAGGGGAUUCCGUAAAUAGGCCUGGCCGGAAAACAAUUGGCUGUGAAGGAGACACCACCUGAUACUGCGUGUGCGUGUGCGCGUGCGUGCGUGUGUGAUCAAGGAAGAGUCUUGAAUUUUUAUUCUAGUUAGUUGCACACGGCACGUCAUACAUAUAUGGUGUAUAACUUGUAUUUUAUAAAGGAAAAGACCAGGGUGUGUCUACAUGCUGGCAGGGGGCGCUUGGGGGACUGGGUGGAUGAGGGCGCGAUCUCAAGCUGGGCACGGUGGCACACGCCUGUGACACCAGCGAGGCCACCCUCAGCAACUUGGCAAGACCAUGUCUCAAAAUAAAAAGAGCCGGGUUGUGCUCAGCAGUAGAACUCCCGGGGCCAAUCCUCGGGGACACACAUGCACAUCUCAGGAAGCCCCCAAUGGAGAAAGCGUGGAAAUCAGCUUUAGGUAAGAGCGGGUGCAGAUGCAGGUAAGUUGCAGGUAGGACGCUCUAAGACAUUGAAAAAUUCUAGUCUGGGGACUUGUUUUUUUCUGGAAAGCAAGAAAUCAGGGUCAUGUUCUGAGCCAAGUGAAAGUCUUCUUGUGAAAAAUUAAGGUGCACAACCAAGUCAAGUACCAGAAUGAAU
rnacentral:lncRNA from 1 species